rnacentral:rRNA from 1 species
AUUGAACGCUGGCGGCAUGCCUUACACAUGCAAGUCGAACGGUAACAGGUCUUCGGAUGCUGACGAGUGGCGAACGGGUGAGUAAUACAUCGGAACGUGCCUAGUAGUGGGGGAUAACUACUCGAAAGAGUGGCUAAUACCGCAUGAGAUCUACGGAUGAAAGCAGGGGAUCGCAAGACCUUGUGCUACUAGAGCGGCCGAUGGCAGAUUAGGGAGUUGGUGGGAUAAAAGCUUACCAAGCCGACGAUCUGUAGCUGUUCUGAGAAGACGAUCAGCCACAGUGGGACGGAGACACGGCCCAGACUCCUACGGGAGGCAGCAGUGGGGAAUUUUGGACAAUGGGCGAAAGCCGGAGCUAGCAAUGCCGCGUGCAGGAUGAAGGCCUGCGGGUUGUAAACUGCUUUUGUACGGAACGAAAAGCCCCGGGUUAAUACCCUGGGGUCAUGACGGUACCGUAAGAAUAAGCACCGGCUAACUACGUGCCAGCCGCCGCCGUAA